AAUCAAUCUCAAGGAAGCUCUUUGGGAGCCAGGAUUCCCAGCACUUAGCUGGUGGGCAAAGGGGUUCAACCCCUUCCCCACACCCCACCUUCCCUCCUCCCAGUCUUCGGGAUUGCGGAGCUCCUGCCGGGAUCCAAGAGCAGGCUCUUGGAGGUCGAAGAAGGAUAUAACCUCCAGACCUGGAAUUUAAGACGCAAGAACCAGCCAGCAAAAGUGGCAGCCGAGCAUGCGAUUGUGUCAUACACUGAAGGAGAACAUAGAGUUCUGAGUCCUCAAUAGACACAUGUCAAGUACUACCUUGGAAACUGGGAAGAAACAACUUUGGACUUGACUUUGGUUUUAGGACCUUAUCGUGUGGGCAGGGGACUGCUGAUGGCUUUUUAUUAGGAAGCUAUGCAACUUGAGGUUCUACUGAAAAGGAGAAGAGGCCACUGGAGAUGGGAAGCCACGAAAACGACAGCCUCUCACUGGCAUGGAGCACAGCAAGCAGGCUAGGCUGGCUGGCUAGCGAUCUCCAUCCCAUCUAUCUUUGCCUUCUCAGCACCGGGAUUGCAUACACACCCAGAAUUCUUGGCAUGUUUCUUCAUCCUCUCCAUUUCAAGUUUUAUUUUUAUAAAAGGAAGAUAACAGUAAGAUAUCUAAUUUCAUUAAUGUUUAAUCAAGGAAGUUGUAAAGGUUUAAAUAUAUGUUCUAUUUUGAUUUAUCUCCUAGUGUGUUUCAAGUAGAACUUUCCAAGAUUUGAGGGUCAACUGUCAGCUUCACGUGUUUUAAAUUGACAUGUAUUUGUCCAGAUUUACAGAGUUCAGCAUAGCAAGUUAACGCAUGAUAUGUAAUAAAUGAUGAUCCAAUUGGG
rnacentral:lncRNA from 1 species